UACGAAGGGGGCUAGCGUUGCUCGGAAUUACUGGGCGUAAAGGGAGCGUAGGCGGACAUUUAAGUCAGGGGUGAAAUCCCGGGGCUCAACCUCGGAAUUGCCUUUGAUACUGGGUGUCUUGAGUGUGAUAGAGGUAUGUGGAACUCCGAGUGUAGAGGUGAAAUUCGUAGAUAUUCGGAAGAACACCAGUGGCGAAGGCGACAUACUGGAUCAUUACUGACGCUGAGGCUCGAAAGCGUGGGGAGCAAACAGG
rnacentral:rRNA from 1 species